UCCUGGCGACGGAUUCCACCUCCCGCCUCCGCCCCGGGUCGAACUCCGCGGGCCGCCUAUACCCUACCCCUGGCCAACACGAAGCCGGCUAUGAGUAUCCCAAGCUCCCCUCGUCCGAAACCCCACAAGAUCCCUCGAAUCGAGCCACCCGACCGCGCUGUCCCGCCCGUCCCGGUGACUCCGGCGACGAAUUCCUUCGGCAAACGGUGAGAGACGAAGCACCUCGUGGACUAGUUCCCCAGGAAGGACGACACGGACGGACGACAUUCCAAGACGCCGCCCCCGUAACCAUCUAUUCCGUCGAGCUCCGCUGCCUAGCCACGCGAUUGCCUUUUGUCCAAAUACCACAGAAGUACACAUUUAUAAGUUUUUCGCUGACAAGUGUUCUUUGAAAGAUAUGUCUGGAUACAAGAAGGACAAGAUUGGGGAGCUACGCUUCUUAUUUUCAAGCUAAAUCGUGCUUUAUGUGUCCAAGUGGAGCCCAAAAGAAAAUAAGUUUGCUGUGGGAAGUGGUGCUAAGUCUGCAUGCAUUUGCUACUACGAACAAGAGAACAACUGGAUUCAAUUCGGUACAACAGCAUCACCGAUGCAGACGACAUGGGGUUCAUCGUGCCAGGCACCUCAGUGUUGCUUCCAUGCGACGGCGGCAGCAGCUACAGAAACAACCACGAUGAACCCCUCUCCUUGCCUCCAGUGCUUGCUCUCAGCUCGUCGUGGCCAUCCUGCCAAGGCUAUGUCUGUUGUUCAUACAACAUGGAGGGUCGGUAAGGACGCCGUGGAUGCUGCAAGUUUGCUUGUCCCACAAACCCAGAGGCUGGGAUGCACACACCCGAAGGUCACCCUCAUCACCUCCUUCCCUUGCCCUGCUCCCCAAUUCGACGGCAAGGUCGCAGAGUAGCAGCACCCACGACCACCCUCCUCGGUCCUCCGCAUAUCUCAUACAUGAUUUAUGCUUUACGUGGUAUUGUAUGAUGUGCUAUGGAAGUAUAGGAAUUUGUUUGCAGCCCCCUUCAGAUCUAGAUAUUGAAUGAGUAUCUGGUAUGAGGAAAUGGAGGUGACGUUGAUCCCUAGAGGCCUAAUGUAUUUUUCAUUUCCUGCUUCGUACUUUGGAGAUGUACCCGCUUAAGGCCAAGGACCUCUUCAUGACAUAAGUAGACCAUGUCGAUGCACUAUGAGUAAAACAAUGAAUCGUCAGAGUUAUGAGAUGUAAUUCUGUGAAGCCCCUUUUUUAUGUGAGAAAUGCAACGUCUGAUUUUGGAAGCUUAAACCUCAUAUGGAAGGGUGAUUGUGAUUUCCAAAUGUUCUGAUUUUUGUCAUGGGAAAUGACAUGGGCUGAAUUUGGCAGCUGUUUUAAGGAAGGAGGGCAAUAGUGUUUCCAUAGUCUUUAUGAUUUAGCCUUAGCUUUACACCUUUGUAAUUUAACUGUCGAAGGUAAAACUAUGAUGGAAAUUAUUUUGAGUGUACUGGGAUUUAUGUUUCUCUCCUUGCCAAAAAACUGCAUAAGUGACAUGACGUAUAUGGUCUGGACAAAUGGUUCUGAUACUCCUAGGGAGGCUAUAGCCUUAUAUUUCUGUAUUGUGUUUUUGUUCAAUAGAAAAUAUGGUUUCAUGUGUA